UAUCAGAGACCAGAUAAAUGAGUACUUUGGUAUCAUAUUGCCACAGGGUAUCUUCUUGCUUAUGUUGCUGCUAAACUAGCUCUGGGACGUCCCUACUGGAACUAAGGAACUCUGUUACCACAGCAACUAUGGCUUGUUUUGAACAAUCCCUGGAUUACGUCGUGGUGAAAAUACAAGUUGGGAUUUUUCCAAGUUUACUCACAUUAGCACUGAGAUGGGUAGCAGCAUGAAUAGUGUCGUAGAAGUUAUGGCAGUUGGAAGGAAGGAAUUAAUGACGAGGCACUGCAGAUAAGGAUGGUCAAUGAGUCAAGCUUGCCUUGGGUGUGAUCCUAAAUUCUUACAACUUAGAAAAGAGGAUCUUAAUUAUCGAACUGAUAAGCAUAUUUUACAGUAGCAGCUGCUUUGGACUCUGGUUGUUCCAUUGAUGAGUUGUACCAGUUAACAUGUAUUGACAAAUGGUUCCUUUACAUAAUGAAGCAUUGACUGUAAUAACAUGCUAGGAAAAAUGACCAACAAACACUCAAUAAAGAAAUGCUAUUGUAUUUGAAGCAGCUGGGUUUCUCCAACCAACAGAUUUCUUGUUUCAUAAAUUCAAUGGAGCUAGUCAUAAGAGGACUCUUGUAAAUCUCUCUCAGUCCCUCCCUCUAUUAAACAAAUAGACACUGUCACUGCUGAAUAUUCUGCCCACACUAAUUAUUUAUACUUAACUUAUAAUGAAGAAACAAAUGAUCUAGACUUUUCUGGUGGUGCUAUAUGGUACUUGGGUCUGGUGUGUACAGGACUGGCAGUUCAGUUGAGUUUGAUUCUUAUGCUGUGAGUUGCAUCAGAGAAUUAGGAAACUAGGAAAGAACACAAUAAUGGUUAAUUAUAAUCAAGAGACAGUCAGUACUGAUAAUGAUGAGUGUGAGAGGUUGUAUUUUGAUGAGCUCUCAUUUGAGACAGUGAUGGACAUAUAUGAUCUUGAGCAGCCUGAAGGACUUAUUCUAUUAAUGGGAGGACAACUACCAAAUAAUAUAGCAAUACCUCUAUACCACCAGAAGGUAAGGGGUACUUCCCUAGAGAUGAUAGGCAGUGCAGAGAACAGGUACAAGUUCUCAUGUUUAUUUGACACAAUUGAAGUACAACAACCAUGCUAAAAAGAACUACCACAGAUUGAAGUAAGGAGGAUCAAAUUAUUAGAUCACACAUAAAAUUAUUACCGUAUUUGCCUGAUUAGAAGCCCAGGCGUUUAUUCAUUAACAGGGGAAAAAUUGCAUAAAAAUAAAAAAAUCUGCCAAAAGUGGGAUUGAACCCAUGUCACCAGACUGCUUCAAGAUAUAAGCUAUUUGUAGCCUUCUAAAGAUAAGACUAUCUAAAUUGAGUAAAAUAUGCACAUCCAUAGUGAGAAUAUUUUAAGGAUGGGCGUUUAUUUAAGGUGGGCUUCUACCUUCAUACUAGUCUUCGUGUGUAUUUCUUCAAUCAUUAUGGCCACUGGAGGAGCUGGUGGAGACGCUACUCUCGAGGAUCGACUCAAGAAUCUGCUGGAAGCCGUCGAGAGAUCCAACACUCAGAAUGAGCAGAGUAUCGCAAGGAUAUCCAAGCGUUUCGAAGAGGUAGCAGAUCUGGCUGCCAAGAAACCCAAGCUGGAUAGAUCCUCAAUUGAUUUUAAGAGCAAGUCUACGGCGUGUCACAACGUGUGCAGGCAGCCCGCCCCCCCCACCCUAGUUAUCAACUAUGCCUUCACUAUUGUUGUUAUAUCAUUUUAACUCUACUGUUAUUUGUUCCUUAAUUCACCAAAAGUUAGGGGAUAGCUGAAUGCUGUAUACAAGAAAAAGAGCUGCAGUCUACAAGGAUAUACUGUCUAAACUAUAAUUGUUAUUAUUAAUGUUUUUUUUGUUGUGUACUUUUCUCGGUUAAUUUAUAGGUCAAGUUUCUGUGUUGUGUUGAUGUUUGUUGUUCUUAGAGCCAGAGGAUGUGGUCAAGGUUUUAAAAAAAAAGCAUGAGGUGGGUUUUUUCCUGGGGUUGCUUUGGGACCAAGCGCCCCAAAUUAUACAAGCUCCGACCGGGUCCCCUUCCUCCUGACUCUUAUGUAUUCGAUUACUGUGUUAUUACUGUUGAUUUUAAAAUGAUUCAAAGGCCUGCACUGGCCGCCGACCUCAA